AGAAGAUGUUUAGUUGGAUGAUUUAAACUAUGUGAUUCGAAUUAUUUUUAAUUUACGUAUAUUUUUUUAAGAGAAAAUACUGUAACAAACCACGAAUCAUUCGAAUCAAGAACGAAUCUCUCUACCAAACGUCAUCUUUUCCCACCGCUCGUCGAGAUUCUAUAAUGAAAUCUGCAAUCCCACAACUUCUCUAACCUCGCCGAGAUUCUAAUCCCUUUCUUCCGAGGUCUCUAGAACCGCCUCAUCGGAAACCUAGUCGGUUCCUAUCAAUGCUUCGAGAAAUCGGCCAGGCUGAUAGGGAAUUGGCUUCAAAUGGCAAAACUCCUGAGAAAUUGAAGGCUGCUGGUUCUUUUCCCAUCGAAGUCUAAAGUCUUAGGGUUCUUGCUAGUGUUGCCCGUGCCCAGGUACGACCUUUGUUUAGAAAGCUAAAGCUUUAGUUUUCAGUCCAUGAACUAACACAAAGAUGGAGUUUUGUUUCACUGUUUAAAUCAAGCAUUACUGCACACUGUUCAAAUGAGAAGAGAGAAAAAGAAGCAGGUAGCUUUUUAGUUUCAUGCAUU